UGAAUGACAUAUACUGGUGAGACCCGAUU
rnacentral:sRNA from 1 species